CCCCUCUCAGGGUCGCACCUGAAGAGUUUCCUGCACCCUACCAGUCUUGGCUACGGGAGGGAGAGUUAAGCAGAGGCCUACCCAUUUCAUUCCUAGCUUGGCCAGUGGCUAGCGAGUGGAAGGCUGUCUGCUACAAGU